GCGGGAAUGGCGAAAUUGGUAGACGCACCAUCUUGAGGGGGUGGCGGAGGUUCUCCGUGGGGGUUCAAAUCCCCCUUCCCGCA
rnacentral:tRNA from 2 species